rnacentral:rRNA from 1 species
GGCAGACGGGUGAGUAACAUGUAGGUAUCUACCCUUUGGCCUGGAAUAACACGAGGAAACUUGUGCUAAUACCGGAUAAGUCUUUACGGAGAAAGCUUUAUGCACCAUUGGAUGAGCCUGCACUUGAUUAGUUUGUUGGUGGGGUAAUGGCCUACCAAGACUGUGAUCAAUAGCUGAUUUGAGAGGAUGAUCAGCCACAUUGGGACUGAGACACGGCCCAAACUCCUACGGGAGGCAGCAGUGGGGAAUCUUGCACAAUGGAGGAAACUCUGAUGCAGCGAUGCCGCGUGAGUGAAGAAGGCCUUUGGGUUGUAAAGCUCUUUCGUCGGGGAAGAAAAUGACUGUACCCGAAUAAGAAGGUCCGGCUAACUUCGUGCCAGCAGCCGCGGUAAUACGAAGGGACCUAGCGUAGUUCGGAAUUACUGGGCUUAAAGAGUUCGUAGGUGGUUGAAAAAGUUAGUGGUGAAAUCCCAGAGCUUAACUCUGGAACUGCCAUUAAAACUUUUCAGCUAGAGUAUGAUAGAGGAAAGCAGAAUUUCUAGUGUAGAGGUGAAAUUCGUAGAUAUUAGAAAGAAUACCAAUUGCGAAGGCAGCUUUCUGGAUCAUUACUGACACUGAGGAACGAAAGCAUGGGUAGCGAAGAGGAUUAGAUACCCUCGUAGUCCAUGCCGUAAACGAUGUGUGUUAGACGUUGGAAAUUUAUUUUCAGUGUCGCAGCGAAAGCGAUAAACACAC